UACGAAGGGUGCAAACGUUGCUCGGAAUUAUUGGGCGUAAAGCGCACGUAGGCGGCUCUGCAAGUCGGAUGUGAAAUCCCUCGGCUCAACCAAGGAAGUGCAUCCGAAACUGCGGAGCUUGAGUACUUAAGAGGAUCGCGGAAUUCCCGGUGUAGAGGUGAAAUUCGUAGAUAUCUGGAGGAACACCGGUGGCGAAGGCGGCAUCCUGGACCGGUAUUGACGCUGAGGCGCGAAAGCCAGGGGAGCAAACGGG
rnacentral:rRNA from 1 species